rnacentral:lncRNA from 1 species
GCCACCAUGCCAAUAUAAAAGCCAUGCCAUAUUUAUUUUAGGCAUUAAGAAGGAGGAGUCCUUCUUAAAUACUCCUCUUAAUUUCUCCCUUCUUAUCUUUCCUUGCAUUGCAUUAUUCCACAUGCCAUCAGAUGACUCUUGGGAGUAUGUGGGCAUAGAAGUGGAGGAGUCUUUCUAUAUGAAGGCUCUUCUACACCAUUUAAUUGGGAUGCCUUGCUUAAAUUGGCGUUA